rnacentral:pre_miRNA from 1 species
AGAGGAAUAGCUGGGUCAAAUGGUGGUUCCAUUCCCAGAUUUCCAAGGAAUCUCCAUACUGCUUUCCAAAUUGGCUGCACCAAAUUUGCAAUCCCACCAGCAAU